GAAAAGGAAAACUCUUCAUGGGACAGGGGGGACUUCCUUUGAAGUGUCAAGAUCCCGAACAGGGAACCAAAAAUCAAAGAAGGGUUCAUAUCAAAUCCAGAGUCAAGGCAAAUACAAGACACACCGCCCUCAAGAGCCCAAAGGUUUCCUGACUGACUCCUGCAGACAAGGAAGCUGGCUGAGUAUAAAGGUUUAGAAGCAGAAGCUUGGGAAUCAGAUAAAUCUCGGUUGGAAUUUUGCUCUGCAGCAAGCAUCUAUGGUAUACUAGGCAAGCACGCAACAAGUGUGUGUGAAUGUAUGGAGAGGCAGGGGACACUUGACUGUCUCGUUUCUUCUGCUGGAUCCCCAACUCCUCAAGGACAUUGGCUUCUGGCUGUCUGUCUAUAUGA